CCCAAAUAAAUCUGUUAGUCUUUAAGGUGCCACCGGACUCCUAGUUGUUUCUAUGAAUACAGACAAACACAGCUACUCCCUGAUAAGGGAAGAUGUUAGUUUGUGGUGUGAUAGGAGUUAAGGCAUUGAGCAAAGUGCUUUGGAGAGAGAGGACAUGUAGUACAGACCCCAUAUGAUGGGAUUAAUGCCAGGAAAAAGAGGAGGUGUGUGUGUGUCUAAGUCAAAUAUAUAGGUGCAUAAAGUUAGGCUUAAUGUCUGAAUAAAUCAUGAGCAGAGACAAAAGUAAUAUGACUCCUCACAUUUUAUUUAGAAGAAAAUAAAGGCUGAAAGCUAAGUUCCUGGAACGUCUCAAGCCACCACUCCCCCAGAUGAGUAAGAGGUUCGCAACUUGGUCCUAAGACUUUUUACUUUUCUUCUUUUUCCUCUUUUCAGUCUGAGACUUUUGCAUCUCCUCUCACCCCUUCUGUACUCACCUGCUUUCCUCCACUUUUGUUUUCUAUCUGCCAUCUUGCAUGUGUUUGUAGACAGCACCAAGGCCGAUCGCCACUUCCUUCCCACUCCUUCCUCUGUAAGGUUGGUGUCAGCUUGACAUGCGCCCAAUUCAGAGCUGUAUUUUGGGUAUAGACACCGGUACCACCAAAAUUAAGGGAUGUUUAGAUCCAGUGUUCUUGCUGGACCUGUCUCUAGCAGAGAUGAGACCAUUCCAAAACCCCUGGCCCAAAUACCCCCAAAUUUUGCAGUCUGGGUAUUGAUCCCUUCUUCUGAAACACUGUCCACUGUGAGAGACAGACUCUUAUACUAGAUAGAUCAUUGAUCUAUUAUGGCCACAUUCCUAUGAAAUGCAGGGAUUUCCUGUGUUUGAGACUGAAUGGCUAGCAGUGAUUACAUAUGAGUUUGCAUGUAAAAGGAAAACAAGCCCUGAAUGCCGGAACCUGAGCUGCAUACAUGCUGCUUCCAAAAGAGGCCUGGGCUAAGUGACUGGGAGUCAGCCCAAGCCCCAGACAUGAUUUAGAAGCGUCAGACAAAAUAGCCUGAAAAGGACCUCAAUCAAAAUCCUGAACUGUAGUGAAGCUUGGAUCUGAAUCCAGUUCUUGCAGCCUAAGGCCGUCUCCUCUAUAAUAGCCCUAGGAUCUGACCCUAAUUUGGAACUGAAACCAUAUUGGUAAAUAUUACUCACUUUACUGGAUAUGUACACCCAUUCCUAACAAGUGGUUCAUUGAAUAGGGUGCUGGUGCCAUUCAGGAUGAGAUUCUGAGCUUCCGUUAAUACCCACUGAUGUCCUGAUUCUAAUCUCACUUCCUGUGGUUUCACACCAGCAAAGCGCCAUUGACUUUAGUGGAGUCAGUCGUGAUUUGAGGCCUGAUCCAGAGCCCAAUCAAAUCUGUGGAAGUGUUUCCAUUGAUGUGAAGGGGUUUUAGAGCUGGCCUUUUCAUCAGUGUAAAGGAGAGCCGAAUCAGGCCUGUGGACAUCAGGGGUGCUCAGAAUCAGGCCCAUGGAGAGGCAAGGGGAGGCUUUCACACAUAAGGCACAGAACUGCAAAAGCCUAAUGCACCAGUUCCCUCAGAAUAACCAGAUCCACAUAAUUUAGGAAUCUCUGGGGCUUCUGUUGGCUUUUUUUUGUUGAGCUAUUCUGAAGAGAAGCACUUGAGUUAAUAAGGAACAAUGACCAUAGACUAGCUCUGUAAUUACAUGAUAUUUACUUAGUGGUUAUUCAUUUAUAAGUUUACAUCUGUUCAUGGUAACACUUGUGCCAUGUAAUCGGCAAGGCAUAAAUAACCGUGUAAUUACUCUGAAAUUACCCCCUAAUUAUCUCCCCCAUUAUGGAUCUGAUUUAUGGUUAUUUGUUCCAUGGAAAGGGGAGGGGGAAGAAGAGGAAAAGCUCCAUGUGAAGCAAUGGCUGAAAUGUACAGGAUCUAAUUCUGUCUUCUCCACCCUCCCUGAAUAUUCCCAAUGCUUGGCUUGAUUUUUGGAGAAGGGGCUUCACGCAGAAGUGUUUUGUGGUUCACAGAGGGCUGGACUGGCCCCUGGUAGUCCAGCCUCAUUAAGGGGCAGCAUGGAACAGCAGUGCCCCAGGGAAAGUGCACAGUCUCCAUUGUGACGGUGAGAAUCACAACUGGAUCUCUGCUUCCUCUUUUUUUCCACAAGGUAAAUAAUCUUCCCCAGACCUUUUACUGGCACACCUCACUUCCCCCUCCAGCUGGCUCACUUACCUUGGCUGGCAUGUUAGGGAAGGAUCCAGUGUCCACCCCUCCCUGCCCACCUGCAUCAGAGGGGGUGUGGCCUUCGCUUUCCCCACUGUACAGGGGUUGGGGCUACAGGUACCCAGUCCAGGUGAAUACAUAGGCUUACACUUACAUGCAGCUGGGCUGAUGACUGAUCCUGGAGAUGCUUGAUCAAGGUUAUAGCUGUACAGUUUGGAGAUUGGGAGGAGAAGAGGGAGAGGGCUUUUUAAAAGCACACACUCAGCCUGUAGCCCUCUUCUUGCAGUCACACACACACUGGGGUUUGAGCACCUACCCAGAGAAACAGGCUGCUUGAAAUAUGAGUUAGAGGGAGGUUGUGACUGUCCAUUAUCCUGUGUCUGAGUAGAAGAGCUUCAUUCUUACUUUCAACGUCAUAUAGCAAGGCCUGCACUGUGGACCAUACCACACAGGGACUGUCUUUGUCUUAAGCAAGUAUUUUAAAGUAGCCCCAAAGCUUCCAGUUCAAAUUUGUUUGCUAGAUUUUUUUUCUUUUCUUUUUUUAAAGAAGGACCCUGGGCCAAAUUCAGCUCUGGAUUAAGCAGGCACAAAUCCUCAUUCUCUUCUGUUUAGAUUCAUAGACUGUGCCCAUCACCAUGGUAUCUGAGAACAUUGAACCGGAUUCUCCUCUCACUGAUACUAGUGUAAAGUAGGAGUGACGCUAUUGAAGCCAAUGAAGUUGUAAACACAGAGGAAGGUCUUAAUCCAAUGUCCAUUGAGGUCAAUGGAAAGACACCAUUGUUUUCUGUAAGUGUUGGAUGGGCCCUCAAUGAGAGUAGCAUAAGGCCUGUUGACCUCACAAUACUGCACUCACUCAUAAGACCUUUGGUCCCAUCUCUGCUAGGCCACUUAGGUGGGCUGGUGCCUUGAGCGAUUAUUUCCAUAAGGUUUUUCUAUCCAAGGCCAGUGCAUAUGCAUUGGUCUGAACUGAGUGUUUGGCCGUUAGCCUGACUACUGUCAAACACCAAACAGACUGGGAGGUGGAAGAAACUUGUCUUUCAAAGAAACAUUCAUCUACAACUGUAGUCCCUGUGUGUCUUUCCUUUCCAGCAUUGAGUUCACCACUAGUAGCUGGCCUGAUUUGAACCACAGUUGCAGGGAAGGGAAGGCAAAAGGCUAGGCACUCCUCACGCUUCAGAAAUAGACAUCACAAUCAUUCAGCCCCCUACCAACAUGAAUCUUAGUGAAGAUGAACUUUGCAGAGAAACCCUCCGUGCUUGGCGGUGACGGGAAUAAGAAUAUGGACAUAGCAGGGCUGCUAAAGCAAUGGAAAUGGCUAACAGGUGACAUCAAACCAACGGACAUACCAAAUAACAUCAGAUUUCCCUUGCUGAUUGACAGGUGAGCCUGCUCAAAUCCACAAGCAGAUGUUUUCCACCCUUCAAACUAGCUCUUUAUGCUUUGCCUGUCACCGCAAAUUGGCUGAGGGUAACAGUACACUAAAAUGUGUAGUAACCCAGGGUAGCCUGAUCGGUAAAUUAACAAUAACCAAACUAACGUAAGGUACAAUGUUCUGUAUAUCAGUUGGGCUGUUAAAGUGAAAUGUCUGUGUCUGACAAUCGUUGCUUGAAAGUGCUAUUUAAUGUCUUUGUCUCUAAAUAAGCCCCAGUGUUUGGCCUUUUGCUAAUAUUGUGAAGUUUUACAUUAGGGUUCUGGUGUAAAUAACUUUAUUGCUACUUAGACCCUAGUAUCCUGUAUCUGUGCAUAAUUACUUGAAAGCUAUAUUUUUUUCUGUAUGUCGACAUACACUUUUCCAGUGAACAGGACAUUCAGAUUUGCAGUUUGUUUCCUGGAGGGUUUUCCUUUGCAAUUUUAUAUUCUGUUUUGGUUUUUAAUCUUUCAAUGCCCAAGUCAUCCUGCUGUUUUAAAGAGAAUUUUUUGUGGUGUGAUUUCCAAGCCCUUUAUCUACAUUGGGUUAGAGUUUUGUUAAAACUGCAUGUCCCUGCAUAUAAAUAAUUGUAUACGCUCUUCUUUUCUGAAUGGAUAUUACUGUAUUAAAGCAACUACACUCAGUGUGGAUAUGGUUCUCUCUUUAGGCCUGUGCAAGUCCAGCCUGAGUGAUGUCAGGACCAGAGGCUCAUUGUAAAAAUGCUAUUCCUCUUUGAUAGCUCUGGAACAGCAGCAAAUGAAAUAUACUUUCACCAUAACA